rnacentral:rRNA from 1 species
AGAGUUUGAUCCUGGCUCAGAAUGAACGCUGGCGGCGUGCUUAACACAUGCAAGUCGCACGAGAAAUCCCGGCUUGCCGGGAGAGUAAAGUGGCGCACGGGUGCGUAACGCGUGGAUAAUCUAGCCUCGAAUCCGGGAUAACAUUUCGAAAGGGAUGCUAAUACCGGAUAAUGUCAUGGAGUCCUCGGGCUUCAUGACCAAAGGUGGCCUCUACAUGUAAGCUACUGUUUGAGGAUGAGUUCGCGUACCAUUAGCUUGUUGGUGGGGUAACGGCCCACCAAGGCUGCGAUGGUUAGCUGGUCUGAGAGGAUGAUCGGCCACAUUGGGACUGAGAUACGGCCCAGACUCCUACGGGAGGCAGCAGUAGGGAAUUUUGCGCAAUGGACGAAAGUCUGACGCAGCAACACCGUGUGAGGGAUGAAGCAUUUCGGUGUGUAAACCUCUGUCGAUGAUGAAUAAAGCAUGUGGGAGUGGAAAGCCCAUGUGUUGAAGGUAAUCAUGAAGGAAGCACCGGCUAACUCUGUGCCAGCAGCCGCGGUAAUACGGAGGGUGCAAGCGUUGUUCGGAAUUACUGGGCGUAAAGGGCGCGUAGGCGGCCGAUCAAGUCAUAUGUGAAAGCCCACGGCUUAACCGUGGAAGUGCAUGUGAAACUGGUUGGCUAGAGUACCGGAGGGGAAAGUGGAAUUCCCGGUGUAGAGGUGAAAUUCGUAGAUAUCGGGAGGAACACCGGUGGCGAAGGCGACUUUCUGGACGGAUACUGACGCUGAGGCGCGAAAGCGUGGGGAGCAAACAGGAUUAGAUACCCUGGUAGUCC